rnacentral:misc_RNA from 1 species
CCUGCGGAAGGAUCAUUACCGAGUGCGGGCUGCCUCCGGGCGCCCAACCUCCCACCCGUGACUACCUAACACUGUUGCUUCGGCGGGGAGCCCUCUCGGGGGCGAGCCGCCGGGGACUACUGAACUUCAUGCCUGAGAGUGAUGCAGUCUGAGUCUGAAUAUAAAAUCAGUCAAAACUUUCAACAAUGGAUCUCUUGGUUCCGGCAUCGAUGAAGAACGCAGCGAACUGCGAUAAGUAAUGUGAAUUGCAGAAUUCAGUGAAUCAUCGAGUCUUUGAACGCACAUUGCGCCCCCUGGCAUUCCGGGGGGCAUGCCUGUCCGAGCGUCAUUGCUGCCCAUCAAGCCCGGCUUGUGUGUUGGGUCGUCGUCCCCCCCGGGGGACGGGCCCGAAAGGCAGCGGCGGCACCGUGUCCGGUCCUCGAGCGUAUGGGGCUUUGUCACCCGCUCGAUUAGGGCCGGCCGGGCGCCAGCCGACGUCUCCAACCAUUUUCUUCAGGUUGACCUCGGAUCAGGUAGGGAUACCCGCUGAACUUAAGCAUAU